UGUGAAUGGGAGGGACAGCAUAUAGACUAGAGGAUGAGAUGGAGCCAAGGUAACGUAUGGAACAUUUCCUUUCUUCAAAAUACAGGGUCCAGACAACGGCCACCGACACCUUCACUCGGGUUCGUGGAAAACAACCUUUGAAAACGAAAUGUUAACGAGGAAACAGAGGAGAUGAGAUGAAGGUGAAGAUUUGGAUGAAGAUAUAUCUAUCGAGGAGGGUUAGUCUAUGGAUGAGGAGGACCAUGUCAUGGAGCUGGGGCGAUGAAGAAGACUCUUCACAAGACUCUUCUGAUGAGUCUUACUAGGAAACCUCUUUUCCUUCUAACUAUACUGUUUUUUUGGUGCAAUUGACUUGGGUAUGGGUAGACCUAGGCUUAAACAUUUUGUAUCUAAACGGUUAUUACUUGUUUUAUAUUACUUUAUUUGUCAUUUUGGGGUUGUAUAUGCUACUUAUUGGUUUUACCUAGACGUCUAUGUUUUGUUAUUCGUUAUGACACUUGAAACUUAUUUAUCUAUAUUUGGUGGUUAUGAAAAUUUACUUAUUUCUCAUUA